CAGUCGCCACGGUAAUACGGAGGGGGCUAGCGUUGUUCGGAUUUACUGGGCGUAAAGCGCACGUAGGCGGACUUUUAAGUCAGGGGUGAAAUCCCGGGGCUCAACCCCGGAACUGCCUUUGAUACUGGGAGUCUUGAGUUCGAGAGAGGUGAGUGGAAUUGCGAGUGUAGAGGUGGAAUUCGUAGAUAUUCGCGGGAACACCAGUGGCGAAGGCGGCUCACUGGCUCGAUACUGACGCUGAGGUGCGAAAGCGUGGGGAGCAAACAGGAUUAGAUACCCCAGUAGUCCCUGUCUCUUAUAC
rnacentral:rRNA from 1 species